rnacentral:miRNA from 1 species
UGAAAUGCUCAAACAUCAGUGGU